GUCAUAUCAUGUUGAAACACCAGUUUCCGUACGAUCAUCGAAGUUAAGCAACGUCAAGCCUGGUCAGUACCUACAUGGGGAACUUCUUGUGAAUUUCAAGUCCUGUAA